UGGGGAAUUUUGGACAAUGGGCGAAAGCCUGAUCCAGCAAUGCCGCGUGUGUGAAGAAGGCCUUCGGGUUGUAAAGCACUUUUGUCCGGAAAGAAAUCCUUGGCUCUAAUACAGUCGGGGGAUGACGGUACCGGAAGAAUAAGCACCGGCUAACUACGUGCCAGCAGCCGCGGUAAUACGUAGGGUGCAAGCGUUAAUCGGAAUUACUGGGCGUAAAGCGUGCGCAGGCGGUUUGCUAAGACCGAUGUGAAAUCCCCGGGCUCAACCUGGGAACUGCAUUGGUGACUGGCAGGCUAGAGUAUGGCAGAGGGGGGUAGAAUUCCACGUGUAGCAGUGAAAUGCGUAGAGAUGUGGAGGAAUACCGAUGGCGAAGGCAGCCCCCUGGCAAGUACUGACGCUCAUGCACGAAAGCGUGGGGAGCAAACAGGAUUAGAUACCCCUGGUAGUCCCACGCCCCUAAACGAUGUCAACUAGUUGUUGGGGAUUCAUUUCCUUAGUAACGUAGCUAACGCGUGAAGUUGACCGCCU
rnacentral:rRNA from 1 species